rnacentral:rRNA from 1 species
AGAGUUUGAUCAUGGCUCAGGAUGAACGCUGGCGGCGUGCCUUAGGCAUGCAAGUCGAACGCAAACUCUUCGGAGUUUGAGUGGCAGACGGGUGAGUAACGCGUAGGAAUCUACCCUUUGGUGGGGAACAACUAGUCGAAAGAUUAGUUAAUACCGCAUAACAUCGCAAGAUAAAAGAACGUAACUGUUCGCCGAUGGAGGAGCCUGCGUCCUAUCAGCUAGUUGGUGAGGUAAUGGCCCACCAAGGCUAUGACGGGUAGGGGGUGUGAGAGCAUGGCCCCCCACAAGAACACUGAGAACGGGUUCUACACCUACGGGUGGCAGCAACCGGGAAUAUUGCGCAAUGGACGAAAGUCUGACGCAGCGACGCCGCGUGUGGGAUGACGGCCUUCGGGUUGUAAACCACUGUGGAGAGGGAAGAAGUUCUGACGGUACCUCUCUAGAAAGCACCUGCUAACUACGUGCCAGAAGCCUCGGUAAUACGUAGGGUGCAAGCGUUAUCCGGAUUUACUGGGCGUACAGGGUUCGUAGGCGGUUAGGUAAGUGACGGGUCAAAGCCCCCGGCUCAACUGGGGACAGGCUCGCCAAACUGCUUAACUAGAGUAGGUUCGGGGAUGCUGGAAUUCUCGGUGGAGGAGUGAAACCCGUUGAUAUCGAGAGGAACGCCAAGGGCGAAGGCAGGCAUCUAGGACCAUACUGACGCUGAGGAACGAAAGCUAGGGUAGCGAACUGGAUUAGAGACCCAGGUAGUCCUAGCCGUAAACGAUGAACACUAGCUGGCUGGAAAUUUUUAUUUUUGGCUGGCGUAAGCUAACGCGUUAAGUGUUCCGCCUGGGAAGUACGGUCGCAAGGCUAAAACUCAAAGGAAUUGACGGGGAAACGUACAACCGGCGUUCCAUGUGGUUUAAUUCGAUACAAACCGAAGAACCUUACCUGGGUUUGACAUGCACCUGCAAGCUCCUGAAAGGGAGUCGCCUUCGAGGGUGGUGCACAGCUGCUGCAUGGUUGUCGUCAGUUCGU